ACCUGCGGAAGGAUCAUUAUUGAAUACACAAGGACUGUCGCUGGCUAGGUUCAUUCUUGGCAUGUGCACGUCUACCACACUUUCCACACUUGUGCACCAAUUGUAGAUAACCCUCGAAAGAGGAUUCUAUGUCUUUUAUAAUCUCAUCUAAUGUAUGUCCUUAGAAUGUAACAAAAAAAUAUUAUACAACUUUCAGCAACGGAUCUCUUGGUUCUCGCAUCGAUGAAGAACGCAGCGAAUUGCGAUAAGUAAUGUGAAUUGCAGAUUUUCAGUGAAUCAUCGAAUCUUUGAACGCACCUUGCGCUCCUUGGUAUUCCGAGGAGCAUGCCUGUUUGAGUGUCAUUAAAUUAUCAACCAUAGUCUUUAUUGGCUUUUGGCUUGGACUUGGGAUUUGCUGGCCUAGUCAGCUGUCCUUAAAAGCAUUAGCAAGUGAAGUAGACGGUGCACGGCCUCUGACGUGAUAAUGAUCGUCGUGGGCUGGAAGCGUCAUAAUGAAGCUUGCUUUAAUUUUGAAUUUGAAUUUGAAAUUCUAUUACCAUUUUGACCUCAAAUCAGGUAGGACUACCCGCUGAACUUAAGCAUAUCA
rnacentral:rRNA from 1 species